rnacentral:rRNA from 1 species
AACGUAGGAGGCAAGCGUUAUCCGGAUUUACUGGGCGUAAAGCGUGUGCAGGCGGUUUUGUAAGCCAGAUGUGAAAUCCCCGGGCUUAACCUGGGAAUGGCAUUUGGGACUGCAAGGCUUGAGUGCGGCAGAGGAGACUAGAAUUCCUGGUGUAGCAGUGAAAUGCGUAGAUAUCAGGAGGAAUACCGAUGGCGAAGGCAGGUCUCUGGGCUGACACUGACGCUCAUGCACGAAAGCGUGGGUAGCAAACAGG